AUUUCCCAAAGCGCCUCUCCAGCAAAGGACCCUUGGGACUUUCCCCCUUGUGUGAAGUGUAGGCGCCCUUUAUGGUUUGCGCAGGUGCCCGGCAACAGUUCUUGGUCGCUGUUCUUCCCCAGAGCCGGAAAAGUGUGCCAUUCAUUCCGCUGAGGCUCCAAUCCAGCCCCGCUUCUCGUGGCCCCACGGAAGGCGCCUCUGGAAGGGGGCGUGCCUUUGGGGGAAGCCCCGCUGGGCUCAGGCGCUCUGGGCGGACCGGGCACCGGCCGUAGUACUAGCAGUCGCCCUCCUUUCUUGCUCGUGCACCUUGUCUGAUCCUCGUGGAGUUCUUGAAUCACCAGCCCGGGAAGAUGCCCUCCUGCUGGAUUAGGAGCCUGGCGCCAAAUCCUGCCCUGCUGCUGGCCCUGGGACUCUACAUUAUCCUUGUUCCAUCUAGCAUUACUGCCCGGAGCAACAUAAGCUCAGAGCCCACCAGUCAUGCCAAAGCAAUUGUCUGUCCAGAAGGAUAUAAACAUCGCGAGGACUAUGACAGUGACCCAAUGUGUCCUGGAGUGUGCAUCAACUCUAACUCCACUGUGGUCAAGUGCUCUGAUGAAACUCGUUGUUGUGAAGAUAUCAACGAAUGCCGAAAUCACAACAUAUGUAGUUACCAUGCCAAGUGCAGCAACACUAAGGGAAGCUACAGCUGCAGUUGCAUAAAAGGAUUCCAGCCCAGCACUGGGCAGAAGGUCUUCAAGAAUGCCAGUGAGGUCCAAUGCAUUGACAUUGAUGAAUGCCAGCAACAUGUCUCCAUCUGUGAACCCAAUGGAAAUUGCAUCAACAGUAUAGGUGAUUACCUGUGUAAAUGCAAGCCGGGAUUUGGGAAGAGCUCAAAGGAUGAUAGAAAAAUAUGCAAAGAUGUUGAUGAGUGUCUCUCAAACCCUUGUAGUGAAGGUGCCAAGUGCAAUAACUAUAAUGGGGGAUUUUGGUGUCCGUGCCUACCUGGAUAUAUCAACUACACUGAAGUUACCCCUGAGGGUAAAACAAACAGCAGUUGCAAGUCAUUUUCCUGUUCAGCAUCUUCGAGCAAUAACUGUUCAAGGGAACAGACAUUCAUCUGUGACUUCACAACAGAGUUGGAGGGCAUCUGCAAUUCAUCACUGAGUACCCAGAACCAUAAGGAUAAAAAGGAAGUUCUGAAGGAUAUGCUGAAUCUGCUGGAUGAUCUAUUGAACUCACCUGCACUAAAGAACAAAACUAAGGAGGAAAAACGCUUCAAAGUUACUGAACUUAUGCAUGAGGUAGAGUCCUGGCUCAGACAUUUUGCAGCCACCCUGGCCCAGAAGCCCAUAAGCAUUAAGUCCAACGAUGGCACAGAGCUGGACAUGGAGAUGAGGGCAGCUGGAAGCCACAGUCAGAGCUCAGCACUGCUGUCACAGAAUGGGACACGAAUGGAGUUAAGCUGGGAUGAUGCAGAUAGAGAAGACAAAGCCUUUAGUCUGAUAGGCCUGCUCUCCUACCAGGGCCUUGGGCCUCUUCUGACUGAAGCUCAUAUUGAAGGGAGUGAAAAGGAGGCAGGCCAACCCAUCUGUGAAGUAAUAUUGUCCAAGGUGGCAGCUGCCUUUGUAGGCCGAAAAAACACCGUGUCCUUGAACAUCCCUGUGAAUUUUACAUUCAACCACACGGAAGCUGUACAUCAUCCCUGUUCCUCCUCCAGCAAGAAGCUUGAACAGAGGCAAGUUUGUGCCUUCUGGAAGCCUGUCAGUGGGGGCUGGUCUACCGAAGGCUGCAAACUCCUGGAAUCCAAUGGCCACAGCACCCGCUGCCAGUGCAGCCACCUGACCAGCUUUGCGGUGCUUAUGGCCUUCUAUGAAGUGGAGGAUCACGGUCUGACUGUCAUCACCAAGAUCGGGCUGGUACUCUCUCUGAUCUUCUUGUUCCUCUCCAUCCUCACCUUCCUGUUUUGUCGCUCCAUCCGAGGCAUCCGUACCACCAUCCACCUCCACCUUUGUCUGGCACUCUUUGCUGCCCAUGCCAUCUUCCUGGUGGGUGCUGGGAACACUGUCAAUGAGACAGCAUGUGCUAUAGUGGCUGGGCUGAUGCACUACUUUUUCUUGUCUGCCUUCUGCUGGAUGUUGCUGGAAGGUGUGGAGCUCUACUUGAUGGUAAUUCAGGUCUUCAGAACCCACAAUCUCAAGCACUGGCACCUUAUCUUCAUGGGAUAUGGACUUCCAGCCGUGGUAGUGGGUAUUGCAGCAUCCAUCAACCCCCGAGGCUAUGGCACCAAGAAACACUGCUGGCUGUCAAUGGAACAGGGGUUUCUGUGGAGUUUCUUGGCGCCUGUCUGCCUCAUCAUCCUGAUCAAUGCCAUUGUCUUUGUGGUUACUAUCUGGAAGCUGACUAAGAAAUUUGCAGACAUCAAUCCUGAUAUGAGUCAACUUAAAACGCAGAAGGUGCUUGUAAUCACAGCCAUUGCCCAGCUCUGUGUUUUGGGCACCACUUGGAUCUUCGGCAUGUUUCAGUUCAGCAAUCACAGCCUUGUCAUGUCCUAUAUCUUCACCAUCCUCAACAGCUUACAGGGGCUCUUCAUCUUCAUCCUGCACUGCCUGCUCAAGAAACAGGUGCGAGAUGAUUACUGCCGAUUGCUUUGCUGGCACAGAAGUCCCAAGCCCCAAAGUAGUGACAAGUAUUCAGAGUUCAACUCUACUGGGACUUUCAACACAUUACGGCCACAGAAGUCUUCUCAAGAAUCUGGAAUUUAGCAUCAUCUCCUGAAGUGUGUUCCAAGACUGCAGCUUUGCACAUACACCCCAUCAUUCCAGUAGCCUUUCCCCUGGUGGAGCUACAUCCUGAUACAGGCUUGCUGCAGCAAGGGUGAUAGAAUGGCAUGGAGGCUGCUGGAUAAAGUCCUAGAAGGGCCAGUUACAGUAUUGGACAAAUAGUAUUGAGCUGAUGUUGUCAAGGGGCAUACACUGCCUCUGUGGAACAUGUCUUCCUCCUCUAAGCUCUUCUGGACUCUUCUCACAACCAAAGCCAGUCUACAAGAGUUCUACACAGUGGGAGCAGAAUGGAGGGACAAGGAAGGAGAUGGAAGACUGAGCAAGUAAUGUGAUCUUAACCAGCAAAAUCCAUCAGCCACACAGUGGAGAGUUUUUUGUACAAAGGACAGAACAGCAGCAGCUCAUAAGCAGCAGAAGGAAGGGAAAGCAGUCUUGAGAGCUCAAGGCUGCUAUUGAAACUGAAGCAGGGGAAGAGAGAGAGUGGAGAUUCACAUGAAAUACUGAAUAGUACAGAGCUUCCUUUCUAGUCCAAUUUAUUUAGGGCCAUUUCCCAUUUUGGCAUUCCUUACUGUGGAAUUUAGCUAUGCAUACUGUAGUGCUGGUUGCACCUUACCCCUAGCAUACUGGCACUGCAUAACCCACAUAGGCAGCCAAAAGGACUUCAGUUAGAACAAAUAUGAAUUUAAAAUGGCAAUUUCAAAUGUUGAUUUGGUUGCAUAUCCAGAAACUGAUAAUCUUGUGCAACAAAAUCAAAUUGGAGUCCAAAUAUCAACUACUAUUUGAGCAUAAGAAUUUGACCUUCAAACCUAGCCUUGCAUCUAAUGGUUUUUCCAGCUUUGGUGUGUAUGAACUGCACACAAAAAAAGUAAUGAACUAAUGCAAAACACCUGAGUUAUCACACUUCUGAGAUGGUACUGUUUCAGUUCCGCUAU